UUAUGUUUAAUGGACAAGUUUAUAUGGCAGUUUGAAUUCCAGAGAGAGCUAUACUAGUUUCUUUGGUUAAUAUGUAUCUUCAGUAGCUAGGUUAUACCCUAUUGCUUUGCUUAAAAUGCAUAUUUUUUGUUUUAAUAAUGAAAUUUCAUGUUUAUUUUGUCAUACCAGUUGAUUCUUCAAGUUGUUAACAUAUGAUUGUAUUGCUAUGCUAUCCCUUUCAUGCCAAUUAAUGGUUGACUGGAAAACAUCAAAUGGGUGAAAAGCUACACAAGGGAAUAUUGGUUGUGAGAUAAUGGAUGAACCAGUCCUAGGCUGGUCUGUAAGCCUGUUUGUUUGAUUAGCACAACAAAAAGAACUUUAUUCAUAACAAAAGUGAGAGUACAACAGGGAGGACCAGGGGUUCACCAACAAAAGAAAAAGUAAAAGGAGAGCCAAAAUCACCUUACAUACUGCUGUCUAAUCUCUACAAAUAAAAAACAAAGGAAUCUUCUUGAAAAGAGGGGACACUGACACCUAGAAAGAUGAGAAAUAAGAAACUUUAUACCACAACCUUCCUAGAUCAUCAAAUAUCCAUGCAUUUUGUUCCGUCCAAAUCACAGAAAAUGCAUAGAUAACAUAGUUCAAUAGAGCAUGAGCUUUAGUAUUGGAUCCAAAUCCCUUGAAGUCAUUGUGCAGCGUUUGAGGACAAGAGAAAGGGGCAACUCAAUCCAUGCUUGAAUAUGAAAUAUGGGCUUACCAAUGCCACAAAAAUGAUUGGCGCAGUUAUCUCUUCAACCUUUGCACGAGGUAAUUUUUGUUCCAAAUGGGGAUUUACAUGACAAUGUGGAGAUCCAACAAUCACAGCCACUUGAUGCUGAUAUAGAGGCACAGAGGGAGGCAGCCCCUCAAUCUAGUGUCAGUUUCCAGACUUUAGCAUUCGCAGGUGGACGAAGAAGUUACGGCACCUAUGCUUCGGCGUCUAACGAUUGGUUUUUGAUGACGUUUCAAAUCAAGAUCAAGUGAUGAUUUUUUUUCCCCUGAAUU